UAGGGAAUCUUCGGCAAUGGACGAAAGUCUGACCGAGCAACGCCGCGGGAGUGAAGAAGGUUUUCGGAGCGUAAAACUCUGUUGUUAGAGAAGAACAAGGACGUUAGUAACUGAACGUCCCCUGACGGUAUCUAACCAGAAAGCCACGGCUAACUACGUGCCAGCAGCCGCGGUAAUACGUAGGUGGCAAGCGUUGUCCGGAUUUAUUGGGCGUAAAGCGAGCGCAGGCGGUUUCUUAAGUCUGAUGUGAAAGCCCCCGGAUCAACCGGGGAGGGUCAUUGGAAACUGGGAGGCUUGAGUGCAGAAGAGGAGAGUGGAAUUCCAUGUGUAGCGGUGAAAUGCGUAGAUAUAUGGAGGAACACCAGUGGCGAAGGCGGCUCUCUGGUCUGUAACUGCCGCUGAGGCUCGAAAGCGUGGGGAGCAAACAGG
rnacentral:rRNA from 1 species